rnacentral:misc_RNA from 1 species
CGAUAACCGCAUAAACUUCUAGUGUAGUGAAUAUUUA